GUCGCAGGGGUCGGCGCACGACGAGAUCGACUUCGAGUUCCUGGGCAACGCGAGCGGGCAGCCCUACACGGUGCACACCAACGUGUACAGCCAGGGCAAGGGCGGCCGGGAGCAGCAGUUCCGCAUGUGGUUCGACCCCACCGCCGACUUCCACACCUACUCCGUCCUCUGGAACCCCACACACAUCCUGUACGUAGUAUGCAGACGGCGUCGGUCUCUCUCUCUCUCUCUCUCUUCAACCUCUUGUCGACGCAGGACAAGACCUCAUGCAUGAAUGAACCCGUUUCUCCGCAUGCAGGUUCUACGUGGACGGGACGCCGAUACGGGAGCACCGCAACCGGGAGGCGGCGACGGGGGUUCCCUACCUGCGGAGCCAGGCGAUGAGGGUGUACGCGAGCGUGUGGGACGCGGAAGAGUGGGCGACGCAGGGCGGGCGGGUGAGGACGGACUGGUCGCGGGCGCCGUUCGUGGCGUCGUACAAGGGGCUCGCCGCGAGCGGGUGCGCGUCGCAGGACGCGGCGGCGUGCGCCAACUCCAACGGCGCGUGGAUGUACCAGGAGCUGGACGCCACGGCGUUGGACCGCCUCCAGUGGGUGCAGAAGAACUACAUGAUCUACAACUACUGCACGGACACGUGGAGGUUCAAGGACGGCGCCCCGCCCGAGUGCGCCAGCAAGUAGAAUGUCUUGUCUUGUGGCGACGUUGCCG
rnacentral:lncRNA from 1 species